AUGGAUCAAUUAUCACUCCAGGUAAUCAAAAAUAACACUGCUGGAUUUAAUCUUCAUGAUAACGUGGAUGAUAUGGAGUAAAAAAAUGUGUGUGAGGCAACAAUAUUUAUUCCCACAUUUACUCUCUGCAGUCUGACAUUAGUUCAUCACCUCACAUCUG